GGUUAAGCGACUAAGCGUACACGGUGGAUGCCCUGGCAGUCAGAGGCGAUGAAGGACGUGCUAAUCUGCGAUAAGCGUCGGUAAGGUGAUAUGAACCGUUAUAACCGGCGAUUUCCGAAUGGGGAAACCCAGUGUGUUUCGACACACUAUCAUUAACUGAAUUCAUAGGUUAAUGAGGCGAACCGGGGGAACUGAAACAUCUAAGUACCCCGAGGAAAAGAAAUCAACCGAGAUUCCCCCAGUAGCGGCGAGCGAACGGGGAGCAGCCCAGAGCCUGAAUCAGUGUGUGUGUUAGUGGAAGCGUCUGGAAAGGCGCGCGAUACAGGGUGACAGCCCCGUACACAAAAAUGCACAUGCUGUGAGCUCGAUGAGUAGGGCGGGACACGUGGUAUCCUGUCUGAAUAUGGGGGGACCAUCCUCCAAGGCUAAAUACUCCUGACUGACCGAUAGUGAACCAGUACCGUGAGGGAAAGGCGAAAAGAACCCCGGCGAGGGGAGUGAAAAAGAACCUGAAACCGUGUACGUACAAGCAGUGGGAGCACGCUUAGGCGUGUGACUGCGUACCUUUUGUAUAAUGGGUCAGCGACUUAUAUUCUGUAGCAAGGUUAACCGAAUAGGGGAGCCGAAGGGAAACCGAGUCUUAACUGGGCGUUAAGUUGCAGGGUAUAGACCCGAAACCCGGUGAUCUAGCCAUGGGCAGGUUGAAGGUUGGGUAACACUAACUGGAGGACCGAACCGACUAAUGUUGAAAAAUUAGCGGAUGACUUGUGGCUGGGGGUGAAAGGCCAAUCAAACCGGGAGAUAGCUGGUUCUCCCCGAAAGCUAUUUAGGUAGCGCCUCGUGAAUUCAUCUCCGGGGGUAGAGCACUGUUUCGGCAAGGGGGUCAUCCCGACUUACCAACCCGAUGCAAACUGCGAAUACCGGAGAAUGUUAUCACGGGAGACACACGGCGGGUGCUAACGUCCGUCGUGAAGAGGGAAACAACCCAGACCGCCAGCUAAGGUCCCAAAGUCAUGGUUAAGUGGGAAACGAUGUGGGAAGGCCCAGACAGCCAGGAUGUUGGCUUAGAAGCAGCCAUCAUUUAAAGAAAGCGUAAUAGCUCACUGGUCGAGUCGGCCUGCGCGGAAGAUGUAACGGGGCUAAACCAUGCACCGAAGCUGCGGCAGCGACACUAUGUGUUGUUGGGUAGGGGAGCGUUCUGUAAGCCUGUGAAGGUGUACUGUGAGGUAUGCUGGAGGUAUCAGAAGUGCGAAUGCUGACAUAAGUAACGAUAAAGCGGGUGAAAAGCCCGCUCGCCGGAAGACCAAGGGUUCCUGUCCAACGUUAAUCGGGGCAGGGUGAGUCGACCCCUAAGGCGAGGCCGAAAGGCGUAGUCGAUGGGAAACAGGUUAAUAUUCCUGUACUUGGUGUUACUGCGAAGGGGGGACGGAGAAGGCUAUGUUGGCCGGGCGACGGUUGUCCCGGUUUAAGCGUGUAGGCUGGUUUUCCAGGCAAAUCCGGAAAAUCAAGGCUGAGGCGUGAUGACGAGGCACUACGGUGCUGAAGCAACAAAUGCCCUGCUUCCAGGAAAAGCCUCUAAGCAUCAGGUAACAUCAAAUCGUACCCCAAACCGACACAGGUGGUCAGGUAGAGAAUACCAAGGCGCUUGAGAGAACUCGGGUGAAGGAACUAGGCAAAAUGGUGCCGUAACUUCGGGAGAAGGCACGCUGAUAUGUAGGUGAAGUCCCUCGCGGAUGGAGCUGAAAUCAGUCGAAGAUACCAGCUGGCUGCAACUGUUUAUUAAAAACACAGCACUGUGCAAACACGAAAGUGGACGUAUACGGUGUGACGCCUGCCCGGUGCCGGAAGGUUAAUUGAUGGGGUUAGCCGCAAGGCGAAGCUCUUGAUCGAAGCCCCGGUAAACGGCGGCCGUAACUAUAACGGUCCUAAGGUAGCGAAAUUCCUUGUCGGGUAAGUUCCGACCUGCACGAAUGGCGUAAUGAUGGCCAGGCUGUCUCCACCCGAGACUCAGUGAAAUUGAACUCGCUGUGAAGAUGCAGUGUACCCGCGGCAAGACGGAAAGACCCCGUGAACCUUUACUAUAGCUUGACACUGAACAUUGAGCCUUGAUGUGUAGGAUAGGUGGGAGGCUUUGAAGUGUGGACGCCAGUCUGCAUGGAGCCGACCUUGAAAUACCACCCUUUAAUGUUUGAUGUUCUAACGUGGACCCGUGAUCCGGGUUGCGGACAGUGUCUGGUGGGUAGUUUGACUGGGGCGGUCUCCUCCUAAAGAGUAACGGAGGAGCACGAAGGUUGGCUAAUCCUGGUCGGACAUCAGGAGGUUAGUGCAAUGGCAUAAGCCAGCUUGACUGCGAGCGUGACGGCGCGAGCAGGUGCGAAAGCAGGUCAUAGUGAUCCGGUGGUUCUGAAUGGAAGGGCCAUCGCUCAACGGAUAAAAGGUACUCCGGGGAUAACAGGCUGAUACCGCCCAAGAGUUCAUAUCGACGGCGGUGUUUGGCACCUCGAUGUCGGCUCAUCACAUCCUGGGGCUGAAGUAGGUCCCAAGGGUAUGGCUGUUCGCCAUUUAAAGUGGUACGCGAGCUGGGUUUAGAACGUCGUGAGACAGUUCGGUCCCUAUCUGCCGUGGGCGCUGGAGAACUGAGGGGGGCUGCUCCUAGUACGAGAGGACCGGAGUGGACGCAUCACUGGUGUUCGGGUUGUCAUGCCAAUGGCACUGCCCGGUAGCUAAAUGCGGAAGAGAUAAGUGCUGAAAGCAUCUAAGCACGAAACUUGCCCCGAGAUGAGUUCUCCCUGACCCUUUAAGGGUCCUGAAGGAACGUUGAAGACGACGACGUUGAUAGGCCGGGUGUGUAAGCGCAGCGAUGCGUUGAGCUAACCGGUACUAAUGAACCGUGAGGCUUAACCUU
rnacentral:rRNA from 1 species